rfam:Gossypium arboreum cultivar AKA8401 contig_3794_7, whole genome shotgun sequence.
GGGGAUGUAGCUCAAAGGGGUAGAGAGCUCGUUUUGCAUGUGAGAGGCAUUGGCUUCAAUCCCCUGCAUUUUCA